rnacentral:rRNA from 1 species
AUUGAACGCUGGCGGCAUGCCUUACACAUGCAAGUCGAACGGCAGCAUAGAGAGCUUGCUCUCUGAUGGCGAGUGGCGAACGGGUGAGUAAAGCAUCGGAACGUACCGUGUAGUGGGGGAUAACGUAGCGAAAGUUACGCUAAUACCGCAUACGCACUGAGGUGGAAAGUAGGGGAUCGUAAGACCUUGCGCUAUACGAGCGGCCGAUGUCAGAUUAGCUAGUUGGUAGGGUAAAGGCCUACCAAGGCGACGAUCUGUAGCGGGUCUGAGAGGAUGAUCCGCCACACUGGGACUGAGACACGGCCCAGACUCCUACGGGAGGCAGCAGUGGGGAAUUUUGGACAAUGGGGGCAACCCUGAUCCAGCCAUGCCGCGUGAGUGAAGAAGGCCUUCGGGUUGUAAAGCUCUUUCGGCCGGGAAGAGAUCGCACAGGCUAAUACCCUGUGUGGAUGACGGUACCGGCAUAAGAAGCACCGGCUAACUACGUGCCAGCCGCCGCCGUAA